CUGUUACCUAUCCAAUAAGUAAAAACAUGUCACACAUUUAAGCAUGUGCAGGUCUAUGGCGUGAAAUAUUCGGAACAGUUGAUCUUCUCGACAUUUUCGCUGAAAACUUCUCGGUUCCAGCUUCUGGGUAAGAAGCAUGAUUAACAGAUGAAUCUAGGAGCAGCGAAAGGAUUGUUGCUUCAGAGACGCUAUGAUGCUGCACCUGCAUGCAGGCAUAUGGACGCCCUGUACUCCCAAAAUGGAUCAUGCUGCUUGCUACUUUAGAUUACUUUCUGCAGGUCAUUGUUCAGUACUUCAGUUCACCAUUUAAAACUUGAAUCAGGUGUAAUUUAUGCUGUAUUAUUUUGCACCACUAUCUUUCCGGGGAAAUUUGAUGGGAAGAAAAGAAUAUUCAACCACAUGAUUCUGACAAAGCAAGCUGUCUUUCGAAUUUUUAUC